GGCCUACCCUCCCCUCGCCCGGUCGCCCCACAACCUCCUCACGCAACCUACCUGGCCGCGCCCGGCGGCCCUAGGCCUCCUCUAUAAAACCAUCGCCCCUGCGCACCGUCCUCCCCCACCUCCCGAUCAAGCCAUCCAGCCGCCUCUCCUCGCCCUCCUGCCUGCGCGCAUCUCUCUAGAGCUUAAACUCUCCUAGAGAGAUCUCAGGCAGCCCCAAUAACCAACCGCUCGACCCAACUCGUCGUCGUCGUCGUCGCAGAUGGCCGGCCUCAGGAUGAAGCUCGUCGCCGCCGCCGCCGUGGCCGCCGCGCUCGUGGCGUCCGCCGCCGCCCAGGCCCCCGCGCCAGCGCCCACCUCCGACGCCUCGGCCGCGGUGCCCCUCGCGGCGGCGUCCUUCGCCGCCGCCGCCUUCGGCUACCUCUUCUGCUAGAUCCGUCGUCCGGGGAUGCCGUCGUGCUCCCUGGCCGGUCGGGCCUGCUGAUGAUGAUAUGAUUCGUUUUGGCGUGAGUCGAGUCCCCUGUUCGUGGCGCGUGUUGAGGGAUGUCGGUGGGCGUGUGUAUGUACGAGUCGGCGGCGGGUGGAGGUGUGCGCGCGUGUUGGAUACGUGCGUCGACGCGCCACUCUUUGUGGUGGAGAUCAUGUACCCGCUGCGCUUCUGUUUAUCAAUGAGAUGAUUUAUUUGAUUCUUUUCAUCUUAUAUACAAUAUACAUGAGAAUUGCGUAUUCAGUUUGUUGUGUUUUGCUCUGCAAACUUGCGAUGUGCAGAUUGUUGUAAAACACUGUCGAACGAUUCUCCCUCAAUCGAGUUCUUCCGUUGCAAAGAAAAAGAAAACGGUGCAUCUCUCUUAAAAAACGAUUACUAUUCUUACGACCUGAAAAUUAAGGGGUGCAGGCUACAGUUCAAACAUGUAAUUGGAAUCUGAAAUCGAUUUGACCGACUAAGGAACUCACCAUCUGAACU
rnacentral:lncRNA from 1 species